rnacentral:sRNA from 1 species
UCAAAGAAAAGGGGGCAAAUAAUAGAAACAACCAUUGAGGAAGAAAAUUCAAGAGAAAUUCAUCGGUUACCGAAAAAUGACGCGAUCUAAGGUAUAGGUGGUGAACCCUCUGGUAAGGGUAAGGAUAUCGUAUCCGAGGACCAAGAGUAGGAAUACUCCCGUUAUUGCUCAAGGCAAUCUGUAGACCGUUGAUUUUGUCGAGGGUUUACUUUUGAAUUUACACUCUUAGAAAUCGUGGGUUUACAGUCGUGUUUAUUUUUGUUAUUUUGGGGUUCACAUGUCAUUGUAGAAUAUUUUUGUAUACCUUGGCGCAAUGUGCUAUUUUAUAUACGAAUUUAUUUUGUUAUUACUUUUCAUUAACUGUUUACGUAGAAUUUUAUAAAUAUUGUU